AUUGAACGCUGGCGACAGGCUUAACACAUGCAAGUCGAGCGGGGUGAUGGUGCUUGCACUAUCACUUAGCGGCGGACGGGUGAGUAAUGCUUAGGAAUCUGCCUAUUAGUGGGGGACAACAUCUCGAAAGGGAUGCUAAUACCGCAUACGUCCUACGGGAGAAAGCAGGGGAUCACUUGUGACCUUGCGCUGAUAGAUGAGCCUAAGUCGGAUUAGCUAGUUGGUGGGGUAAAGGCCUACCAAGGCGACGAUCUGUAGCGGGUCUGAGAGGAUGGUCCGCCACACUGGGACUGAGACACGGCCCAGACUCCUACGGGAGGCAGCAGUGGGGAAUAUUGGACAAUGGGGGGAACCCUGAUCCAGCCAUGCCGCGUGUGUGAAGAAGGCCUUAUGGUUGUAAAGCACUUUAAGCGAGGAGGAGGCUCUUUUGGUUAAUACCCAAGAUGAGUGGACGUUACUCGCAGAAUAAGCACCGGCUAACUCUGUGCCAGCCGCCGCGUAA
rnacentral:rRNA from 1 species